rnacentral:rRNA from 1 species
UACGGGAGGCAGCAGUGGGGAAUAUUGCACAAUGGGCGCAAGCCUGAUGCAGCCAUGCCGCGUGUAUGAAGAAGGCCUUCGGGUUGUAAAGUACUUUCAGUCGUGAGGAAGGUGUUAAGGUUAAUAACCUUAGCAAUUGACGUUAGCGACAGAAGAAGCACCGGCUAACUCCGUGCCAGCAGCCGCGGUAAUACGGAGGGUGCGAGCGUUAAUCGGAAUUACUGGGCGUAAAGGGCACGCAGGCGGUUAAUUAAGUUGGAUGUGAAGUCCCCGGGCUUAACCUGGGAAUGGCAUUCAAGCUGGUUAGCUAGAGUCUUGUAGAGGGGGUAGAAUUCCAUGUGUAGCGGUGAAAUGCGUAGAGAUGUGGAGGAAUACCGGUGGCGAAGGCGGCCCCUGGACAAAGGACUGACGCUCAUGUGCGAAAGCGUGGGGAGCGAAAC